GAAAAAACCAGGCGAGUGACAUUUUUCACUAAGUUUCAGAAUAUAGCCAUUGUUGGCAACAAUGUAGUAUUUUUAUAGAUUGAAGUUCAGCUAGAUGUCCAAUUGGUCCAUUAAUUUCCAUUCCCUAUCCUCCAUCUGUUAGCAAGUAUUUGGUAUUUAUAGUCUUUCACUUUGCUCAGAUCGUAUGCUCUUCUUCACUGUAGUGGGAGAAAUGCAAUUCUUAGGUAAACUACGAUGUUGAAUACAUUGUUAUUAGUCAUCAAUAAAUAUACCAAGAUAUGCAUUUUUCUGUCAUUUCAUUAUCAUUGCAAUGACACUGUCAGAUCCAUCCUUCCCCGCACACUCGCAGAGACAUCUUCCAAGUACAUACACCAUUUCAAUGUCCAAACUCAUAUUUUUUGCGUUUCUUUUGCUAAAAUCUUCUUGAUUCUGAGCACUGGUACUAGAAAGCAUAAUCCAGUUUAGUAAAGAAUCACGUUGCAGAUUAGGAAGUCUCGCUCUUUUUUACGGCAGCGAUGAUAGCAUAGAACUUCUCUGCGAAACCCGAGCAAACUUCCCUUAUUUUGUGCCUCUUGGUUUUCCUAAUUCUGUUUUGUUCUUUCUGACUUAUAACUGAACUAGAGGACUUGAAUAUGGUCAGAGGCAGAGCAUGAAGGUGAUGAUACAGAAGUUGCACGACCAAUAAGGUUAAGUCCAAUGCUUAAUUUAGCUUCCUUUUCUUGGUAGCAUGGUUGAGUGUUAUUACAUUAUCCACCAAAACUUGAUCUUUGAGUUUCUCAUCUUUUGAUCAUACAAAGUGCAAUGAGAUUCAGGUAAUGUACAAAGUGGAUAGUGAUUCUUCCACAAAUUUGUUUUUACCUUAAAUAUGCUAUUUGGACUGGUCCUUUAGGUGGAAUUUUUUUUCCCUAAAUACUUAAUCCUUUUGGAAGAUAACCUUCCCUGGUUUUGGAGAGGGUAAUAGGCUGGUUCGCUGCUUCUUUGUCUUAGCAGUUACCAAUACACACUCACUUAUUAGUCUUUUGCAGUGUUGGUAACUAAGUGAGUUUUAUGGGAACAUAUGUUGGUGUUUCCUCUAUCAGAUGAAGGAAUUGGAUAGCUCUUGCACGUUCUGCGUUUCUUAACUGCGGGUGUUUCAGUCUCCACAAUCUGAUACAUAUGAUUAUUCUUAGAUAGAUGUUAAUGUAUGAUGUUGGAAGAGGUAAAGAUUGGACAGUACUUCUGCUGAUCUUGGUGAAUAUAUACUAUAUAUAUGUAAUAAUAACUCAAAAGACCACACAUUAACUUUAUAAUUUCAUUUGCAGUUCCAACCUACAUCUGCAGUGGGACCUUCCAAUCUUCAAUAUAGAUCUUCUUUCAAGUGA